rnacentral:rRNA from 1 species
GACGAGUCUCACGAACGUUAUUCGGAAUUACUGGGCUUAAAGGGUGCGUAGGCGGUGAAGUAAGUCGGAUGUGAAAUACCUUAGCUUAACUAGGGAACUGCACUCGAUACUACUUUGCUAGAGUAAGACAGAGGUGAGUGGAACUGAGGGUGGAGCGGUGAAAUGCGUUGAUAUCCUCAGGAACACCGGUGGCGAAGGCGACUCACUGGGUCUUUACUGACGCUGAUGCACGAAAGCUAGGGUAGCAAACGGG